rnacentral:rRNA from 1 species
AGAGUUUGAUCCUGGCUCAGGAUGAACGCUGGCGGCGUGCUUAAUACAUGCAAGUCGAACGAAGAGCUUCUGUAGUAAUACGGAAGUUUCUUAGUGGCGAACGGGUGCGUAACGCGUUGGUGACCUGCCCCGAAGUGUGGGAUAACAGUUCGAAAGGACUGCUAAUACCGCAUAUGGUCCUCCGGGUUAGAGGCUGGAGGUCUAAAGCAGUAAUGCGCUUCGGGAGGGACCUGCGUCCCAUCAGCUAGUUGGUGAGGUAAUGGCCCACCAAGGCUACGACGGGUAGGGGACCUGAGAGGGUGGUCCCCCACACUGGCACUGAAACACGGGCCAGACACCUACGGGUGGCAGCAGUAGGGAAUAUUGGGCAAUGGGCGAAAGCCUGACCCAGCAACGCCGCGUGUACGAUGAAGGUCUUCGGAUCGUAAAGUACUUUUCUGAGAGAUGAGAAAGGACAGUAUCUCAGGAAUAAGUCUCGGCUAACUACGUGCCAGCAGCCGCGGUAACACGUAGGAGGCAAGCGUUAUCCGGAUUUACUGGGCGUAAAGCGCGUGCAGGUGGUUCGGUAAGUUGGAUGUGAAAGCUCCUGGCUCAACUGGGAGAGGUCGUUCAAUACUACCGGACUUGAGAGCAGUAGAGGGAGGUGGAAUUCCCGGUGUAGUGGUGAAAUGCGUAGAUAUCGGGAGGAACACCAGUGGCGAAAGCGGCCUCCUGGACUGUUUCUGACACUCAGACGCGAAAGCUAGGGUAGCAAACGGGAUUAGAGACCCCGGUAGUCCUAGCUGUAAACGAUGUGAACUUGGCGUCGGCGGGUUCAAAGCCGUCGGUGCCGAAGC